GGUCCGGGGACCUCGGGGACGUCAAGAGGCCGUGCACAGCGGGGCUGCCGGCAGGGGGCAUGGGGCCGGCCUGCGGAGUCUCACCUGUGUGAGAAGAGGAGGAACGCUUCGGGGCAAGCCCACUAAGUCCUGUUUGGAGCCAGAGCAAGACAGUAUCAGGUGCAGCAGUGAGCUGCAGGUCCUCAAAUACGUACUGGUCCAGUCCCGCUGCCCAGACAAGGAGAGAAGCAGGAGCUCUGGGAGUGCUCCUGGGGGCCCUGGACAGCCGCAGCCCCUCCACUGGGGAGCCCUGGCCCAGCAGCCCUGAUGCACAGCUGCAUACACACAGGUCUCCCGCCAGCCGCUCCCUCACACCCACCUUUCAGUCCAAGUCUUAGCAACCGCCCCCCACCUCAGCUACUCCCCCUUCUGUGGUUAGAAUCAAGACUCCAGUCCUAGAAAGACAGAGGCUCGGUGUUUCCGCCCUGCCCUCGCUUUCUCCAGCGUGUCUCUGACUGUCUUCAGGGCUCCACACCUCACCACCGAGGCCGUCUGCUUCUUCUGCUGCGGACAGGAGCUGGAGUGCCCACUCACAGGCCAGUCUGUUCCCAGCGCCCCGCCCGCUCACAAUGCUGAUGGUGUUGGGGCAGAAUGAAUGAAAUACAAGUGGCUGCGCCUGGCCAGCAAGGGGUGAGACGCCGUCGAUCACCUGAGGGCUUCAGCCACACACGGCACGGCGUGACUAAAGCAAACGGACUUGCAGUAGAUAUUAAGCGCUGAGGCCAGGCGGCGGCACACCUGGUUAAGUGUCUCUCUCCCUCUCUCCCCCCCCUCCUCUCAAUAUAUCUCUGCUCUAUCAAAUAAAGAAAAAAGUUAAGGGAUUCAGGCGGUCACGCCUCUGGCUAAGUGCACACACUACGGUGCGCAAGGACCGGGCCCUCCUCAGGGGAAGCUUCACGAGAGACGAAGCAGGGCCGCAGGUGUCCAUCUCCCCCCCUAU